rnacentral:rRNA from 1 species
AUUGAACGCUGGCGGCAUGCCUUACACAUGCAAGUCGAACGGCAGCACGGGAGCAAUCCUGGUGGCGAGUGGCGAACGGGUGAGUAAUACAUCGGAACGUGCCCAGUAGUGGGGGAUAGCCCGGCGAAAGCCGGAUUAAUACCGCAUACGACCUGAGGGUGAAAGCGGGGGAUCGCAAGACCUCGCGCUAUUGGAGCGGCCGAUGUCGGAUUAGCUAGUUGGUGGGGUAAAGGCUCACCAAGGCAACGAUCCGUAGCUGGUCUGAGAGGACGACCAGCCACACUGGGACUGAGACACGGCCCAGACUCCUACGGGAGGCAGCAGUGGGGAAUGUUGGACAAUGGGCGCAAGCCUGAUCCAGCCAUGCCGCGUGCGGGAAGAAGGCCUUCGGGUUGUAAACCGCUUUUGUCAGGGAAGAAACGCUCUGGGCUAAUACCCCGGGGUAAUGACGGUACCUGAAGAAUAAGCACCGGCUAACUACGUGCCAGCCGCCGCGGUAAAAC